rnacentral:rRNA from 1 species
UACGUAGGAUGCAAGCGUUGUCCGGAAUUAUUGGGCGUAAAGCGCGUGUAGGCGGCUUGUUAUGUCGGGUGUGAAAGCCCUCAGCUUAACUGAGGAAGUGCGCCCGAAACUGGCGAGCUUGAGUACCGGAGAGGAGAGUGGAACACCCGGUGUAGAGGUGAAAUUCGUAGAUAUCGGGUAGAACACCAGUGGCGAAGGCGGCUCUCUGGACGGAUACUGACGCUGAGACGCGAAAGCGUGGGGAGCAAACAGG